UCAAAGGAAUUGGCGGGGGCCCGCACAAGCGGAGGAACGUGUGGUUUAAUUGGAUGAUACGCGAGGAACCUUACCCGGGCUUGAAAGUUACUGACGAUUCUGGAAACAGGAUUUCCCUUCGGGGCAGGAAACUAGGUGCUGCAUGGUUGUCGUCAGCUCGUGCCGUGAGGUGUCGGGUUAAGUCCCAUAUCGAGCGCAACCCCUACCGUUAGUUGCCAUCAGGUCAAGCUGGGCACUCUGGCGGGACUGCCGGUGUAAGCCGAGAGGAAGGUGGGGAUGACGUCAAAUCAGCACGGCCCUUACGUCCGGGGCUACACACGUGUUACAAUGGUAGGUACAGAGGGCAGCUACCCAGUGAUGGGAUGCGAAUCUCGAAAGCCUAUCUCAGUUCGGAUCGGAGGCUGAAACCCGCCUCCGUGAAGUUGGAUUCGCUAGUAAUCGCGCAUCAGCCAUGGCGCGGUGAAUACGUUCCCGGGCCUUGUACACACCGCCCGUCAAGCCAUGGAAGCUGGGGGUGCCUGAAGUUCGUGACCGCAAGGAGCGACCUAGGGCAA
rnacentral:rRNA from 1 species